rnacentral:rRNA from 1 species
GAUUGAACGCUGGCGGUAUGCUUAACACAUGCAGUCGAACGGAAACGAUACUAGCUUGCUAGUAGGCGUCGAGUGGCGGACGGGUGAGUAACGCGUAGGAAUCUGCCUGAUAGUGGGGGAUAGCCCGAAGAAAUUCGGAUUAAUACCGCAUAAUCUAUUCGUAGUAAAGUGGGGGACUUUCGAGCCUCACGCUAUCAGAUGAGCCUGCGUAAGAUUAGCUUGUUGGUGGGGUAAAAGCCCACCAAGGCGACGAUCUUUAGCUGGUCUGAGAGGAUGAUCAGCCACAUCGGGACUGAGACACGGCCCGAACUCCUACGGGAGGCAGCAGUGGGGAAUAUUGGACAAUGGGGGCAACCCUGAUCCAGCAAUACCGCGUGUGUGAAGAAGGCCUGAGGGUUGUAAAGCACUUUCAAUUGUGAAGAAAAGUUAGCGGUUAAUAACCGUUAGCCUUGACGUUAACUUUAGAAGAAGCACCGGCUAACUCCGUGCCAGCAGCCGCGGUAAUACGGAGGGUGCAAGCGUUAAUCGGAAUUACUGGGCGUAAAGCGUGCGUAGGCGGUUUAUUAAGUCAGAUGUGAAAGCUCCGGGCUUAACCUGCGAACUGCAUUUGAAACUGGUCAACUAGAGUAUGGUAGAGGAAAGUGGAAUUUCUGGGUGUUAGCGGUGAAAUGCGUAGAUAUCAGAAGGAACAUCAAUGGCGAAGGCAGCUUUCUGGACCCAAUACUGACGCUGAGGUACGAAAGCGUGGGUAGCAAACAGGAUUAGAUACCCUGGUAGUCCACGCCGUAAACGAUGAUAACUAGCCGUUGGGGGGAUUUACCCUUUAGUGGCGAAGCUAACGCGUUAAGUUAUCCGCCUGGGGAGUACGGCCGCAAGGUUAAAACUCAAAGGAAUUGACGGGGACCCGCACAAGCGGUGGAGCAUGUGGUUUAAUUCGAUGCAACGCGAAGAACCUUACCUGGUCUUGACAUCCUGCGAACUUUCUAGAAAUAGAUUGGUGCCUUCGGGAACGCAGUGACAGGUGCUGCAUGGCUGUCGUCAGCUCGUGUCGUGAGAUGUUGGGUUAAGUCCCGUAACGAGCGCAACCCCUAUCCUUAUUUGCCAGCACAUUAUGGUGGGAACUAUAAGGAGACUGCCGGUGAUAAACCGGAGGAAGGCGGGGACGACGUCAAGUCAUCAUGGCCCUUACGACCAGGGCUACACACGUGCUACAAUGGGAAGGACAAAGAGCCGCGAAGCCGCGAGGUGUAGCUAAUCUCAUAAACCUUUUCGUAGUCCGGAUUGGAGUCUGCAACUCGACUCCAUGAAGUCGGAAUCGCUAGUAAUCGUAGAUCAGAAUGCUACGGUGAAUACGUUCCCGGGUCUGUACACAC